rnacentral:rRNA from 1 species
UUAAAUUUUAUUUAUUAAUUUUAUUCUAUUUUUUAUUAAAAUAUUAAAAAUAAUUAUUUAAGAAAAAGUUUUAGUAUUGUUUAAAGAAAAAAUAAAUUUAAUUAUAGUUUAUUAGUAUUGUAAAAGAAAAUUGAAAUAAUUUGAAAAAUUAU